CCUACGGGGGGCAGCAGUGGGGAAUAUUGCACAAUGGGGGAAACCCUGAUGCAGCGACGCCGCGUGAAGGACGAAGUAUUUCGGUACGUAAACUUCUAUCAGCAGGGAAGAAAAUGACGGUACCUGACCAAGAAGCCCCGGCUAACUACGUGCCAGCAGCCGCGGUAAUACGUAGGGGGCAAGCGUUAUCCGGAUUUACUGGGUGUAAAGGGAGCGUAGACGGCCAUGCAAGUCUGAUGUGAAAGCCCGGGGCUCAACCCCGGUACUGCAUUUGAAACUGUCCAGCUGGAGUGCAGGAGAGGUAA
rnacentral:rRNA from 1 species